GGAGACAGGUGCUGCAUGGCUGUCGUCAGCUCGUGUCGUGAGAUGUUGGGUUAAGUCCCGCAACGAGCGCAACCCUUGCCUUUAGUUGCCAGCAGUUCGGCUGGGCACUCUAAAGGGACUGCCGGUGUUAAACCGGAGGAAGGUGGGGAUGACGUCAAGUCCUCAUGGCCUUUAUGACCAGGGCUACACACGUACUACAAUGGCCGAUACAAAGGGCAGCGACACUGCGAGGUGAAGCCAAUCCCGUAAAAUCGGUCUCAGUCCGGAUUGGAGUCUGCAACUCGACUCCAUGAAGUUGGAAUCGCUAGUAAUCGUGGAUCAGCAUGCCACGGUGAAUACGUUCCCGGGCCUU
rnacentral:rRNA from 1 species